CGCAUAUGAAAUACGAGUUCUCAUACGAUCACCGAAGUUAAGCAAUGUCGAGCCUGUCCAGUACCUAGAUGGGAAACCGCUUGGCAAUACCAGGUUCUGU